rnacentral:snoRNA from 1 species
CGCGCACUUAAUUAGGUAUCUCUGCCAAUCGAGGCUCUGAUGCUCAGUGAAUGUGCGCAAAGCAAAGAAGAUGUGCUUAGUUGGACUUGCUACAUUCCAUGCGAGCCACACGGUACAAUUUCGACAGCG